AUUGAACGCUGGCGGCAUGCCUUACACAUGCAAGUCGAACGGCAGCACGGGAGCAAUCCUGGUGGCGAGUGGCGAACGGGUGAGUAAUAUAUCGGAACGUGCCCAGUCGUGGGGAUAACGUAGCGAAAGCUACGCUAAUACCGCAUACGAUCUAUGGAUGAAAGCGGGGGAUCGCAAGACCUCGCGCGAUUGGAGCGGCCGAUAUCAGAUUAGGUAGUUGGUGAGGUAAAGGCUCACCAAGCCGACGAUCUGUAGCUGGUCUGAGAGGACGACCAGCCACACUGGGACUGAGACACGGCCCAGACUCCUACGGGAGGCAGCAGUGGGGAAUUUUGGACAAUGGGCGCAAGCCUGAUCCAGCAAUGCCGCGUGCAGGAUGAAGGCCUUCGGGUUGUAACUGCUUUGUUACGGAACGAAACGGUAGAGGCUCUAAUACAG
rnacentral:rRNA from 1 species